GCAGUGGGCCGGUUUGUCGCUGCAAACACAGUUUGCAGAGGAAAGUCCGGGCAGCGCAGAGCGCCAUACUUCUUAACGGGAAGCUGUUUGCGAAAACAGUGUAGCGUAACAGAAAACAACCGCCGCCAAGUGCGGUAAGGAUGAAAAGGCGGGGUAAGAGCCCACCGGUUUUACCGGCAACGGUAAAAGCCGUACGCCAUAUGGGCUGCAAGGUCAUGUAUACCGACGCAUGUAGGGUUGCUCGCCCGAUGUCGGGGGGUAGACUGCUGGAAUUGCGGAGCGAUUCGUAAUCAAGAUAAAUGACAAACAAUUUACCAUGUAAAUUACAGAACCCGGCUUAUAGGCCUACUGCAUUU
rnacentral:RNase_P_RNA from 1 species